rnacentral:rRNA from 1 species
UACGUAGGGUCCGAGCGUUGUCCGGAAUCAUUGGGCGUAAAGCGCGCGUAGGCGGCCCGAUAAGUCCGUUGUGAAAGUCAAAGGCUCAACCUUUGAAUGCCGAUGGAUACUGUCGGGCUAGAGUCCGGAAGAGGCGAGUGGAAUUCCUGGUGUAGCGGUGGAAUGCGCAGAUAUCAGGAGGAACACCAAUAGCGAAGGCAGCUCGCUGGGACGGUACUGACGCUAAGGCGCGAAAGCGUGGGGAGCGAACAGG